rnacentral:rRNA from 1 species
AGUGAACGCUGGCGGUAGGCCUAACACAUGCAAGUCGAACGGCAGCACAGUAAGAGCUUGCUCUUACGGGUGGCGAGUGGCGGACGGGUGAGGAAUACAUCGGAAUCUACUUUUUCGUGGGGGAUAACGUAGGAAAACUUACGCUAAUACCGCAUACGACCUACGGGUGAAAGCAGGGGAUCUUCGGACCUUGCGCGAUUGAAUGAGCCGAUGUCGGAUUAGCUAGUUGGCGGGGUAAAGGCCCACCAAGGCGACGAUCCGUAGCUGGUCUGAGAGGAUGAUCAGCCACACUGGAACUGAGACACGGUCCAGACUCCUACGGGAGGCAGCAGUGGGGAAUAUUGGACAAUGGGCGCAAGCCUGAUCCAGCCAUACCGCGUGUGUGAAGAAGGCCUUCGGGUUGUAAAGCCCUUUUGUUGGGAAAGAAAAGCAGCAGGUUAAUACCCCGCUGUCCUGACGGUACCCAAAGAAUAAGCACCGGCUAACUUCGUG